CCCCCCUAAGGGAAUUGAAGUCAAUACGGGCGAGUGAGCAGCACAGCUCAGUUUGACAGCUGGCCCCCCCGGGGGUCCACGUUGUAAUUUGAAGAGGAUGAUUCGGCGAGGGCUCCCGCCUAAGUCCCCUGGAACGGGGCGUCAUAGAGGGUGAGAAUCCCGUAUGCGGUGGGCUGCCUUAGCCACGUGAAUCUCCUUCGACGAGUCGAGUUGUUUGGGAAUGCAGCUCUAAAUGGGAGGUAAAUUUCUUCUAAAGCUAAAUACCGGCCAGAGACCGAUAGCGCACAAGUAGAGUGAUCGAAAGAUGAAAAGCACUUUGGAAAGAGAGUUAAAAAGUACGUGAAAUUGUUGAAAGGGAAGCGCUUGCAGCCAGACUUGUCCGCAGUUGCUCAGCCGGGUCUCCUGACCGGCGCACUCUUCUGCGGCCAGGCCAGCAUCAGUUCGGGCGGUCGGAUAAAGGCCCCGGGGAACGUAGCUCCUCUCGGGGAGUGUUAUAGCCCGGGGUGGAAUGCGGCCAGCCCGGACUGAGGGAUCUCGCUUCGGGCUAGGAUGCUGGGCGUAAUGGGCUGUAAGCGGCCCGUCUUGGAAACACAGAACCAAA
rnacentral:rRNA from 1 species